GGCAUCCAGAGGGGUCUGGGGGCACCCAGAGGGGUCUGGGGGGGCACCCAGAGGGGGCUGGGGUCCCAGGGCUGUUUCAGGGUAUUUUUGGGCCAUUUCAGGUUGGUUUUGGGCUGUUAUUUUUGGGCCGUUACUUUCAGGGACUCCCCAGGUAAUUUCGGGGCUGUUUGUGCCGGUUUUGGGGUGGUUUUGGGGUGGUUUUGGGCUGUUUCUGGGGUUUUUUUGGAUCCCUGGACUGUUUCAGGUGUUCUUGGGGCUGUUUCAGGUUAUUUCAGGGCUUUUUCAGGUAAUUUGGGGCCGUUUGUGCCAUUUUUGGGGUGUUUCGGGGCAGUUCCAGGUGUUUUGGGGGCUGUUCCAGGUGGUUUUGGGGCCGUUUCUGGUGUUUUUGGGGCUGUUUCAGGGGUUCUUGGGGCCGUUUGUGCCGUUUUUGGGGCUGUUCCCGGUGUUUUAGGGCUGUUUUUGGGGCCGUUUGUGCCAUUUUUGGGGCUGUUCCCGGUGUUUUAGGACUGUUCCCGGUGUUUUUGGGGCCAUUUGUGCCGGUUUUGGGGCAGUUCCAGGUGGUUUUGGGGCCGUUUGUGCCGGUUUUGGGGCAGUUCCAGGUGUUUUUGGGGCAGUUCCAGGUGUUUUUGGGGUGUUUUUGGGGUGUUUUUGGGGUGUUUUUGGGGUGUUUUUGGGGUGUUUUUGGGGCAGUUCCAGGGGUUUUUGGGGCCGUUCCGGGUGUUUUUGGGGCCAUUCCAGGUGUUUUUGGGGUGUUUUUGGGGCUGUUCCAGGGGUUUUUGGGGCAGUUCCAGGUGGUUUUGGGGUGUUUUUGGGGCAGUUCCAGGGGUUUUGGGGCAGUUCCAGCGGUUUUUGGGGCAGUUCCAGGUGUUUUGGGGGUGUUUUUGGGCCCGUUCCAGGGGUUUUUGGGUCCCUCACCGCUGCAGCUCCUGGCCGUCCUCCAGCAGCGCCUCCAGGUGCGCGAAGCCGAAGGCGCGGUAGAAGCAAUUCC